rnacentral:rRNA from 1 species
CCCGAUAGAGGGGGAUAACCACUGGAAACGGUGGCUAAUACCGCAGAACGUCGCAGACCAAAGAGGGGGACCUUCGGGCCUCUCACUAUCGGAUGAACCCAGAUGGGAUUAGCUAGUAGGCGGGGUAAUGGCCCACCUAGGCGACGAUCCCUAGCUGGUCUGAGAGGAUGACCAGCCACACUGGAACUGAGACACGGUCCAGACUCCUACGGGAGGCAGCAGUGGGGAAUAUUGCACAAUGGGCGCAAGCCUGAUGCAGCCAUGCCGCGUGUAUGAAGAAGGCCUUCGGGUUGUAAAGUACUUUCAGCGGGGAGGAAGGCGAUGGGGUUAAUAACCCUGUCGAUUGACGUUACCCGCAGAAGAAGCACCGGCUAACUCCGUGCCAGCAGCCGCGGUAAUACGGAGGGUGCAAGCGUUAAUCGGAAUUACUGGGCGUAAAGCGCACGCAGGCGGUCUGUUAAGUCAGAUGUGAAAUCCCCGGGCUUAACCUGGGAACUGCAUUUGAAACUGGCAGGCUUGAGUCUUGUAGAGGGGGGUAGAAUUCCAGGUGUAGCGGUGAAAUGCGUACAGAUCUGGAGGAAUACCGGUGGCCAACGCUGCCCCCUGGACAAAGACUGACACUCAGGUGCCAAAGCGUGCGGAGCAAACAGGAUUAGAUACCCUGGUAGUCCACACCCUAGACGAUGUCUACUUGGAGGUUGUUCCCUUGAGGAGUGGCUUCCUGAGCUGACGCGUUAAUUCAACCGCCUGGCGAAUACGGCCGCAAGGUUAGAACUCGCAUGAAUUGACGGGAGCCCGCACAAUCGGUGGAGCAUGUGGUUUAAUUCUAUGCAACGCGUAGAACCUUACCUACUCUUGACAUCCACGGAAUUUGGCAGAGAUGCUUUAGUGCCUUCGGGAACCCUGACACACGUGCUGCAUGGCUGUCGUCACCUCAUGUUGUGAAAUGUUGGGUUAAGUCCCGCAACAAUCGCAACCCUUAUCCUUUGUUGCCAGCGAUUCGAUCGGGAACUAAAGGAGACUGCCGGUGAUAAACCGGAGGAAGGUGGGGAUGACGUCAAGUCAUCAUGGCCCUUACGAGUAGGGCUACACACGUGCUACAAUGGCGCAUACAAAGAGAAGCGACCUCGCGAGAGCAAGCGGACCUCACAAAUUGCGUCGUAGUCCGGAUCGGAGUCUGCAACUCGACUCCGUGAAGUGGGAAUCGCUUGUAAUCGUGGAUCAGAAUGCCACGGUGAAUACGUUCCCGGGCCUUGUACACACCGCCCGUC